UUUUUUUUUUUUUAAAGAAACACUUUAAUGGACUUAAUCCGUCAGGUACAUGGAAGAGUGUUAUUUUCCUAGAUUAUUUUGUUUAAAUUAUGGGGGCCUAACCUACAACUUUUUGUUGUUGUUGUUGUUGUCAAUUUUUUUAACCUUUUUUUAAUUACUGUAAAGAAAAAUGAAUUUUUCCUGCAGCAGGAAACAUAUAGUUAUAAGUAGUUCUACCUCUUAUUUCUAGAUGCCAGGCUUUCUGUACAAAAAAAUGUAUUGUACCAUAUAUAAUGUGAUUUUUACAAAGAAAAAACCCACAAAAACAAAACCACACCACCAUAAUCUCCAGGACAUGGCAUAGGGCUGGAUCAGUCUGAUUAACACCUUCUACUCUGAAGCAUCUAUUUUACUUAGGGUUAUGUUAUUUUAUUUUUUUUAAUAAGUAACUGUACUAUGAAGGAGAUGGGAUGUCACUUAAAUCUCUUGUGAUCUAGGAAGAGUCUUAAAUGUAAUGUUGGUAAGCAAAAUAGUGACUGGCUACUGGCGUCAGUGGACAGAUGCUGAUUGUAUUCCUGUUGUUGAUUUCCUACAUGGUGUUGUACAAAUUACUUCUUUGGAAACACAAUGGGGGAUGUGUGCACGUGCGUAUAUGUCUACGCAUGAGAAGACCCCAAAUGCACUUCAGGCACGUUAACAGCAUAAUGGAGGAGAAAGACAGUUGAGGUUGGCCAACUGGGAUGGUCAUCCCAACACUCAUCUUUGCCAGGCUCGGAAACAUCUGCAUCCUCUACGUCACACAUCUGUUCACCAUCAUCUAGAGAAUUUAUCCUAAAUCUUGACUGCAGGGUCCUAGACCCAUCCAUCCAUUCAGCAGGCCCAGGCUUUUGGUUUUAAACCAAGUGAGUAAGUAUCACCAUGGGAGAGAUUAUUUUUCUCUCCCUGUGCAUGUAAAUGUGCAUUUGGGAAGUUGGAAAUUGGAAAUGUCUUCAUCAAGACAUUUUUUGGUGAAAUGUGAGGACUACACACAAGACACUAAAAGCUUCAUGGAAAAAAAAAAGAACAAAGCCCAUCUGUAAGGGCUAAUUCCCCAAUGGAGAAAAAUCCUACCGCAGAGGACAGGUAUGUUGCUGCUUUCUGUUCAAAACUAAAGUCCGUUUUGGUUAAGUAAACAGAAUUUCAUGAUGGUGCUGAAACCUUUUAUGCCAAAUUUUAGCAUUUACUCACUCAUAGUAGACAUGUCAGUGAGGGGAGGUGCAGAAUAGGGCUGUUCUUUUUUUGCCCAGAUGCGCUGUAGAAGCAGCUGGCCACCGUACUGCCCUACAGGCCUUUGGUUGAAGGUUGAGUUGAUGGAGACCAUGGUAGUUUGAGCUUAAUAGAAGGAGGAUGGAGCUGCAGAGGCACCUGCACAGCACAUACACACAUGCACACACAUCCAUACUUUCCCCUAGUCGCUCCCAAGGGGUCUUGGUUCUGGCUUCCAUGAAACAUGAGUUGACUCGUGGAUCAGCAUCCUGGGAACCCAGCCUGAAUCUGCUUUGGGAAGGGUUGGGAAAUGUCAAAAAUAGCCAGAGGAGCAGCUCUGUGAUGCCUUCUUUGGUUAUUUGGAGGACAGAUAACCUGGAAAGCACAGUGCCGGCUUCAACAGAUGGCUUCCAUCCCUUGGUCAACACAAGUCCCUGGCUCCCAAAGGGGAAACAGGUUCCAGCAUCGUCUACAGGCUCUGAGAGUGUGUUGUGUCGUGCCCAGACCUUUGAUUUGUAGAAAUCCCAAUAACUUUAUGGAGAAAAGAUCAAACCAGGUGAAUAGAGCGAAGUGGCUUCCCAUCUGCUGGCACCUGGUGAUGUGUCUCCACAAAAAUGAGGUCUUCCACUUCCGAACCAUGUUAAAUGUACUUGAAAUGUAUUGACUGCUGAUCUAGAUCUCUCUCUGUUUUUUACUUUAUGUUUUUUAUGUUAACCCAAGGGAGCUGUUGUACAGAGCGUUGCUGAAGGGACGGGACAAAGGUUUCUGUAGCUUUCCAUGAAAAACACACACAACUCCGGUGACGGGAGCUAAAAGCGUUUCCUUUCCUGGUGCCUGAUGAUAGCACUUCAUUGGCGGUGGCAUCUCCUUUCUUGGUUAUUCCUUUAAAAAUCAACACCAAACCCAACACCUCGUAGUGGGACUCCCGUGAUGGCCACCAGCUGCGGCCACCUUUGUCCCUGCCCCUGGAGCCCACCCUUCCUUGUCAUCGUGGCCGAUAAAUCUUUGUGGUUUUAUUUUAUUAUAUUUUAUUUUGAAUCAACACGCACUUUCAGAUACUUUUAUUAUUGUUUUAAAUUCUCUGUAUUUGCUUUGGAGGAAAGAAUAAAAAUUAUCGUGUAAAAUGAAGUGGAUCAAGAUGGUGGAACAUAGGAAAAAAAGCAGAAAACAUUUCAAUAUAUUAAAAUGAUUUUUUUUCCCCAGUAAUAUAAAACAUGAAAUUCCUUAUAACAUUAUAGUGUUUUACAGUUUUAUGAAGCUUUCUAUUGUGACUUUUAUGGAAUCAAAAGAUGAAGAUGAUGAGAUAUUUUAGCAUUUCUAUUUUUCAAAAUUAAAUGUAUACUGAAAAUAAAGUAACUUUAUGCAUUUA
ensembl:lncRNA